ACGCGCCAGCUCUAGGGCCUAUCCGCUGCGCUCUGUCCACAGCUGGAUGUCGGAAAUGGUAGUUGCGUGCAGCUUUCAAGGCCGGAGGCAAUGGUGUCAGCUAAGAGAAUGACUUGUGGCUGGGAUCGUCCCUUCCAAGAAGCUCUCGGUCGCAUUCCAGCGUCUCGGUGGAGUCGAUGGUGGUACAAGAGUCAUAGCCCGCUCCGGAGAAGAGGCAAGUCACAGUCUCGUUCCUGAAGGCGCCAGAAGAGAAAUUACAGGCGCCGCUCGCUAUUCUGCUGGAGGUACCUCUCUCAGGAAAGGUCCUAUUACAGAAGGGCCUCUUUGAUCACGCGCAGGCGAUAGCACUAGGUCUUUUACCCUGUGGUGUAUCCGAAAGAACAGAGCACCUGGAGGGAGAGAUCCAGGAAGAGGUCGCGGAGCAGAACCCGGUUUCACAUAAGUAAAAGAGAUGAAAUGGAGCUAUUAGCACUAGCAAAAGCCUGCACAGCUAAAUCCUUAGGAAUAGCCAACCUUGACCUGCCAGCUAGUCUCAGAACUGUUACUGGAGUUAAAGAAACAGUGGAACAGCUGUACCAAAUACCGCAAAGCUCGAAGUAAACCAGAUUUAUCCAAACAAAACUUUAAGAAAAACUACUCUUAGAAAGAUCUGGUGAACCAUUUUUGUUUGAUUUACCUUAGGUUACACUCCUCAGAAAACCUAGCUGAAUGUAAUUUGCCAAAGUCAAAAUAACAGAUCUGAAAACAGUAGAGAGGCUCUCACUCAUGAAAGUGGAGCAGUAACGAACUUUGUUUUGGGGAACCAACUGGAGCAGAUUGGGACUGUUCCCGAAAGUCCCAUUUUCUAAGACAUCUGUCCUGGGUGAAAAUGCCCUGGUUUUCAGCAGUGAGUGCAAAUAUUUGAGGGGAGCGCAGGGGUACAAAACCUAUAUUGUGGCCCUCCCAAGAGAGGCUGAAGACAACACCCUUUUUUAUGAAUGAAUAUGGUGAUUGUCUGCCUUCUGUUAACCACUGAUACCGGCAAUCUGGAUUUGUGUGGUUCACAUAGUAUAUCUACAUAACAUAGCAUUCUCUCAGAGCAGCUUAAAUUCCAGACAGGAGCGUUAACAGGCCAGUUAACUUUUGUGCUUUGCAUGGAGAUAGUGCUCAUGUAAUUUUUAACUUUGUGAAUAUUGAGACCAUGGUUUCUAAGAGUUCAGAUAUGAAAAUGAGAAUGAGUUCAAUACCAAUGCCAGCCUGACAGUACCAAAAAGAAGACUAAAUGGCCCUGGUUUUUCUUUCUUUCUUCUUCUUUCUUUCUUUCUUUCUCUCUUUCUCUCUUUCUCUCUUUAUCUCUUUCUCUCUUUCUCUCUUUCUCUUCCUCUCUCUCUCUCUUUCUCUCUCUUUCUCUCUCUCUCUCUCUUUCUUUCUCUCUCUCUCUCUCUUUCUCUCUUUUUAGGGCCACACUCGAGGCCUAUGGAGGUUCCCAGGCUAGGGGUCCAAUUGGAGCUGUAGCCACUGGCCUACGCCACAGCCACAGCAACUCCGGAUCCGAACCUGUGUCAUCAUGAAUACUAGUUGGGUUGGUUAACCACUGAGCCAUGACGGGAACUCUGGCUCUGUUAUUUUAAUGACAGAUAGAAGGACACUGGAUUAGGGAUGUAAAUAAUCCAGCAUACUGUACAAUAUGCAGGAAAAGAAUUUGGGGUUGGCCAUGGUGGAGAAGGGGAUGUGAAAACACGUAUGGAGACUGAAUCCCACAAGUCUGGAAUGAGACAAGCAGGCACUUUUGAAUCAAUACAGUGUUUUCAUUGCCCUGAAGGACACCAGCACUCAGUCAAAAAUAGCAGCUGCUGAAUUAGCUUGGGCAUACCACGAAAGGAUGAACAUGCCUUGUCCUAUUGCUCCCUUGAUUGCUUAGUGAAACUGAAUAAAGUUAUAUUUCCAGA
rnacentral:lncRNA from 1 species